GACGAACGCUGGCGGCGUGCCUAAUACAUGCAAGUCGAGCGAAUGGAUUAAGAGCUUGCUCUUAUGAAGUUAGCGGCGGACGGGUGAGUAACACGUGGGUAACCUGCCCAUAAGACUGGGAUAACUCCGGGAAACCGGGGCUAAUACCGGAUAACAUUUUGAACCGCAUGGUUCGAAAUUGAAAGGCGGCUUCGGCUGUCCCUUAUGGAUGGACCCGCGUCGCAUUAGCUAGUUGGUGAGGUAACGGCUCACCCAGGCAACGAUGCGUAGCCGACCUGAGAGGGUGAUCGGCCACACUGGGACUGAGACACGGCCCAGACUCCUACGGGAGGCAGCAGUAGGGAAUCUUCCGCAAUGGACGAAAGUCUGACGGAGCAACGCCGCGUGAGUGAUGAAGGCUUUCGGGUCGUAAAACUCUGUUGUUAGGGAAGAACAAGUGCUAGUUGAAUAAGCUGGCACCUUGACGGUACCUAACCAGAAAGCCACGGCUAACUACGUGCCAGCCGCCGCAGUAA
rnacentral:rRNA from 1 species